rnacentral:miRNA from 1 species
CUAAACAUCUCAUUUCCUAUGCCAAGUCCUUUUUGUUCAGAACAAAAGGGACUUGGCAUAGGAAAUGGGAUGUUCCAUUU